rnacentral:rRNA from 1 species
UACGGAGGGUGCGAGCGUUGUCCGGAAUCAUUGGGCGUAAAGGGCGCGUAGGUGGCGGGAUAAGCGUGCGGUGAAAGCCUGGGGCUCAACCCCGGGUCGGCCGUGCGAACUGUUUUGCUUGAGCACUGUAGAGGCAGGCGGAAUUCCGGGUGUAGCGGUGGAAUGCGUAGAGAUCCGGAAGAACACCGGUGGCGAAGGCGGCUCUCUGGGACGUGACUGACGCUGAGACGCGAAAGCGUGGGGAGCGAACAGG